rnacentral:rRNA from 1 species
UACGAAGGGGGCUAGCGUUGUUCGGAAUUACUGGGCGUAAAGGGCGCGUAGGCGGCCGUUUGCGUCGGAUGUGAAAGCCCGGGGCUCAACCUCGGAACGGCAUUCGAUACGGGACGGCUGGAGACCGGGAGAGGAGAGUGGGAUAGCCAGUGUAGAGGUGAAAUUCGUAGAUAUUGGCUGGAACACCGGUGGCGAAAGCGGCUCUCUGGCCCGGUUCUGACGCUGAGGCGCGAAAGCGUGGGGAGCAAACAGG